rnacentral:lncRNA from 13 species
GCACGUGUGGUUGGGAGUUCACACCAAGUAACAUGUGACAUAAAGAAGUGUUCUCUCCCUGAUACGCAAGCAGAAGAUAAAUGAUCCCCAUGAUAAUUAUAGUUCUGGUGGCCACAGCGGCAGCACAAGUUAGUGCUACGUUCUGUAAUCUCACUGAGGAGAGUGGAAAUCAUCAAUGCUAUGGGGCUGUGGGAGAAUGUUUGUCCUUACAUCUGACUGCAAACAGGGCUGAAGAAAGAAUUACAUUGAAGAAAGGUGAUAAUCGUAUUCUGAACUUCCAAACUGGAGAAGACUGGAGAUCUAAAUUGCAUCAGGAUUAUGUGAAUCGCUCCGAGUUCUUAAAUAACACCACAUUCAGGCUGGACAGUGUUAUAGAGGAUGACUCUGGAGAUUACCAAUUGAAUAUAUUUAAUUCAGAGGGAACACAGUUGCGGAGAGUCAACAUGCAACUUGAGAUACAAGCCCCGGUGUCAGAGCCAGUGUUGUCUCACCUCUGUCUGCCUCAUGGAGAGACCGUGGUCACAUGCUCCUCAGAGGGAGAUGGUCUUCAGUACAGCUGGACCCUGAAUGGCCAGAAUCUGACCAGGAGUGUAGCCUCUGACCACCACCAGAACAGUGUCAUCAUACUGAAGAGUGAUGUGACAGGAACUCUGACCUGUAUGGUUCAGAAUAAAGUCAGCAGCAGCAACUCCACUAUUAAUCUACUGGCCUGCCAAAGUAAUGUCCGAACAGUUUCCUUCCCACAAUUUUUCUCUUCCCAGAUUCGUUUUGUAAUUGUGACAGUAGGUAUAGCUCUAGCUGUUGGAACUCUUGUCCUCCUUCUUGCGGUGUUUGUUGGCGUAAACCGUCUCUGUGGGAAACUGAGAUUUGGACAUAAUACUUCAGGUUGCUCUAAUGAUGAGGGUGCUGCUGUUGUAUACACUGAAGUAUUCAAUAAAAGAAAGAGAGAAGUCAACCAGAAACCUACAGAGAUGGUGGAGUAUGGAGAGAUCAAAAUGGCUGCCAGUGUUAAUGAGGAAGAAAGCCCCAAGAAUCAGGGGGACAUGGAAAUGACAACCAACCAGACAUAUGACACAUCUUUUCUGACAACUUUCGGCAGGACUUAGUAGAAAACAAAAAUGUAAGAGUGUAUUACUCCCUUGUAUAUGUUUGUGUUGUCAUUUGAGUCUUUGAAAAUGUGUAUUGCUUCAAAUCUUGAACUUUUAACCCUUUCAACCAUACCUCUUAACCAAAUGGAGGGACGUUGGUCUGAAACAACAGAUGACUGUUAAAUAUCUUAAUUUUAUGAUUGUGUGAUGUUUUCAGUGUUUGGGAUCUUUUGCAAUAUUGUGUGUUUGCCAUCCAUUCUCCUUCAUUUGCUGCUGACUUGGGAUUGUACUUUAUCUGGAAAUGUCAGUGUUAAAUGCUAAACGUAGGAGAGAAACAUUGAUGAACAUGAUAGCUUAACUUCCUUGCAAUAUCAUACUUUUUAAACUUGAAAAGCUAUUUUACAAGGAUGACAUCUUAUCAGAUGUAAAUAUAAUUGAAUAAAUACAUUUGUUUGAUAAAUAAUCCUCCUCAGUUUCUCUUUGAGUAACAUCAUACACAAACUGCAGCAAAAGUACUCCCACAUGAAACAAGUAAACAGCAGAUGGUUAUGUAUUGAAAUAGAAAAACACUCACAUGAGUAUGUACUGUAAAUAUCCCCAGCAUUCAUGCCACACCUCACCAUAACUCUUCCUUUAGAUGUGUUUACUCAGGUUACAGUAAAGUUAGUAGCAGAAGUGCUUCUUUCAGGAAAGAGUAAAAGGCAUCUUGACCUCUGUUCAGACCUGAUGCCCUUCUCAAAACCUAUGUAUAGCUUACUCAUACGAUUGAGGCCCAGUUUAAUUGCUUAGAUACCUGUCCGCAAAUAGAAACAUCUCAGUUGUAACCAAACUAGCAAGAUGUGUUUUUCAGUAGUCAGUCCUUGCAGUGCAUGUUCUCAGCAAACAGAGCUGUGGUAAAUGUGGCUAUUGGUGAGUCUGUCGUGAAAACAGUUUGAUGUGUUUCAUCAGAAUAAGGGAAGUUAAACUAGACCUAGAGUGUAAAAUGCAUCUCCUGGCCAGCAGGUAAUUAUUAUUAUUACUAACAAUAUGG